CUUCAUAGCCAGGCUAUCAUAACGAGUCGGUCAUUUUGGUUAUCGUCAAACACACAGCACAGCUGACUUCUUUCGACAACUGACGGAAGCCGAAAUCCCCUUAGACAUAAAACUCAACAAGCCGCGCUCAUCCAUCACAACUGGUUGGCAAAGGUUAGAAAGGCAAGAAAGCAGAGUGCCUGCAGGUAUGUCUAUUUGUUGGUGAGAUUUAUGGUGACGGUGAACUGGUGAAGCCUCUCUC